GAAGAGGAAACUUCGUUUCCUCAGAUCUUAGUGGCGAACGGGUGAGUAACGCGUAAUCAACCUGCCCUUCAGAGGGGGAUAACAAUCGGAAACGGUUGCUAAUACCGCGUAAGCUCACUGUCCGGCAUCGGAUAGUGAGGAAAGGUGGCCUCUAUUUAUAAGCUAUCGCUGAAGGAGGGGAUUGCGUCUGAUUAGCUAGUUGGAGGGGUAACGGCCCACCAAGGCAAUGAUCAGUAGCCGGUCUGAGAGGAUGAACGGCCACAUUGGGACUGAGACACGGCCCAAACUCCUACGGGAGGCAGCAGUGGGGAAUCUUCCGCAAUGGACGAAAGUCUGACGGAGCAACGCCGCGUGAGUGAUGAAGGUCUUCGGAUUGUAAAGCUCUGUUAAUCGGGACGAAAGGUCCGCUUGUAAAUAAUGAGUGAAUUGACGGUACCGGAAUAGAAAGCCACGGCUAACUACGUGCCAGCAGCCGCGGUAAUACGUAGGUGGCAAGCGUUGUCCGGAAUUAUUGGGCGUAAAGCGCGCGCAGGCGGAUCGGUAAGUCUGUCUUAAAAGUUCGGGGCUCAACCCCGUGAUGGGAUGGAAACUGCGGAUCUAGAGUAUCGGAGAGGAAAGCGGAAUUCCUAGUGUAGCGGUGAAAUGCGUAGAUAUUAGGAAGAACACCAGUGGCGAAGGCGGCUUUCUGGACGAAAACUGACGCUGAGGCGCGAAAGCCAGGGGAGCGAACGGGAUUAGAUACCCCGGUAGUCCUGGCCGUAAACGAUGGGUACUAGGUGUAGGAGGUAUCGACCCCUUCUGUGCCGGAGUU
rnacentral:rRNA from 1 species